AUCCCUGUAGCGCAAUCGAUAGGGCAUUGGAAUUCUAAUCCAAAGGUCGUCGGUUCGAAUCCGACCUUGGAUG